GCUUGAGCUCUUAUUCAUAUUUCUCACACCUCUGGACAUACCAGUUACCCUUGAUCCCACAUUGCUCUCAUACUUCUUCCAAAGGGGAUGUCAGCAGUCCUUUCAUACUUUUUAUGAAACAGUAUAAGGUGUUUAGAAUCUUAGGGUAUUGUUUGAUAUCUUCUUGCCAAGUUGCCAAGCAACCUCUAAGCAGCACUUACACCUUAGUUUGUCCAACCUUCGUCAAAUUCAUGUUCUGCCACUAAUUUGGCUCCCAACUGGAAGAAACCUUCAUUCUAAGCUUGGUGCUUUGAUAUGUGAUUUUGGCUGAUUUAUUUUCUGAAUAUAAAGUUUUAUGGUCCUUGAAAAGUAAAAAACUGCAGUGGAGGCAAGUGCCAGACUUUCUGUUACCACCUGUAUAGUCUCAUCAAUUGCAGACUUGAUCCUUCAUUCAAAAUUGCCAGUGGCAUUCAAUCUACAAAGAUUAGCCACAGUGUGGAAAGGAUGAAAUGGAACCAUUUCCAGUGGUAUCCUGCAGACCUGCAAAAACCAGAAAACUGGGCCGCCCAGUGAACUGGUUGGCACUACCUGGCGAGGAACCAGAACUUGCCACUUCACUGGCAGAAUUCCAGGACACAGCUGCCAAGAUCCACGAAAGUCAAAUAGCUUCAUGGAGAACACAUAUGGGCAUUCCAGCCAAGAGCCAUACCUGAAUAUCUAAGUAACUGGCAGCAUCAGCCACCAGACUGUGAUCAGAGAAGGCAUCAAACCCUCUGGUACUCAAAGGGAGAAGAGUUUUCCAUUUACUUGUGAAUCUCAAUGGUUGAUGAAAGUAUCCAGGCCCAGACUGUACAGAGCUGAGAGUGACUCCAGGAGCUCAUCAUGCAGAUUAAAUGGACUUCAUGAAGAACUUACUGUGGUGUGGUUUGUGAUGUUGUAUUGUAUUGUGUUAUGGUUUCCUGGUGUAGGAAAUAUCUGAGACAUAUCUGAUUCUAUUUUUCUUGUCCAUAUUAACCAAAGCCCUUGCAGGAAUUCAUACCAGGUAGUUCAACUGGCAAGACUUCAGGAAGGGUCUACUUACUGAGGUAUAGGAAUGAUGAAGGGAAAGGACAAAAGAUGGUGAGGCGCCCAGAGACAAGUAACGAUGGGGAGCCAUUGCUGCCUUGUGACUAAGGAGACAAAGGAAACCAGGUUUGCUAUGGAAGUUCAUUAAGAGCUAGAACUGAGGAGGAGAGGCUGCUGGUAGGAGCUGUAAUUAUAACAGGAAUCAGACACUACCAUAGUCCUGGUGGAAAACCCUCUUGGCCUUUGAGUUCCUGCUGGUGCCACCCACUGCCCAGGCAUAAACAAUCCAUUGGGAGGUGGGGGGGGGGGGGUCUAAAUGUUGUAGACAAUAGGGAUCAUCACAGAACAGAGUGAAUGGAUUUGCAAAGGUAACCAGAGAAUAACCAGUAGUGAUCUCACCCACUGAGGACAGAGUAUUACUUGGCCUUACUACCUGUUUUGGUUCUCUGAAUGCAACUGGGUGAUAGUAGGCUGUCCAAUAGUGUUACAGGGUCCCCCUCUCCAGUUAUUCCUUCUCAUAAUCCCAAGUGGUGGAGAGAUGGGAGGACUGAUGGAUGGGGUAGGGGACAUGAGGGCGGAAGGAGAUAGA